GUCUACAGCCAUACCACCCUGAACAUGCCCCAUCUCAUCUGAUCUCAGAAGCUAAGCAGGGUCGGACCUGGUUAGUACUUGGAUGGAAGAAACUUCCCAAUGUAAGCA
ensembl:rRNA 5S_rRNA 5S ribosomal RNA